AAGUUGCUUCCAUGACAAGUGAAGAGAUCUGCAGAAGUUAAUCUACUGGCCACAGAGAACUGAUAGGCCAGUAGAGAAAUAGAGACAGUGUUGAAUGACGAACCUUUUCCCUCUAAGAAGAAUGCUUCUCUGCAGAAAACAGACUGCAGCUGACGUGCCCCAAUUUAAACCUAUAUUUUUAUUGUUCAAUGCGCAUGAGCUACUGAACGGGUGAACAGAAAAGUAAAUAUCCAGUAAGAUUUUCAUAGCAAGAAUCUCCAUUCUCCAGCAUGAAUGAAACCACCUGAUUUAUCGACUCGAAUACAAAACGGCAUAUAAUUUGACAAUAAAGUCGGUUACUUGGUAAACAUUUGAUGAGAUGUACUACUAAAUAAAUUAUACUGUUUUAACUGAU